rnacentral:rRNA from 1 species
UACGUAGGGUGCAAGCGUUGUCCGGAAUUACUGGGCGUAAAGCGUGCGCAGGCGGUUUUGUAAGUUUGUCGUGAAAGCCCCGGGCUCAACCUGGGAAUUGCGAUGAAGACUGCAAGGCUUGAAUCUGGCAGAGGGGGGUAGAAUUCCACGUGUAGCAGUGAAAUGCGUAGAGAUGUGGAGGAACACCGAUGGCGAAGGCAGCCCCCUGGGUCAAGAUUGACGCUCAUGCACGAAAGCGUGGGGAGCAAACAGG